rnacentral:lncRNA from 1 species
CUCUCCCCUGCUCCCCUUCCAUCUAAAACACCUGUGACUGGGUGGUAGAUUAUUCCAGCCCAGGUCAGAAGAGAUAAGGGGAGCAACUGAGUUGUUUAUUGUCCUUUGUAUCUUCCAGGAGUCCUCAACCAACAAAAGAUAAGGAAACCGAGGCUCAGAAAGAUGACAUCCCUUGUCUACAAGCGACACUAGAAUCAUUCCAAAAAAGUUUCCCCAAACUAAACAACUUCUCAAGAAUCUGAUGGUGUAUGCAUCCACAGCAGUGUUCUCCACUUAUGAAAUGGAGUAGGGAGAAGUAAAUGCUUACAUUUUUUCCUCUGGGUCUCAGUCUGAUCACGACAAUAUCAGAGCUUCUGGUUAUGUUAGUUUUGUUGCUAUUCCUCUCAGAUUUGAAUCCAGGACCUCCUGAUGCCAGAUCUGGCUCUCCAUCCACUGAACCACCCAGCUGCCCCCAAGGCUUCACUUUGAUGGUCCUAUAUAUGGCAGAGACCCUGCUCUGGAUCCUGCUUCCAUGGCCUUAGGAGACUUGCUUGAGCUCUUCGGGGAAGGUAAGAGUGGGAAGAGAUUGACAAAGGACGGUGGCCUAAAGCUUUUUCACUUCACAAGGCUGUGGGAUUGACCAUUUCCCCCUUCAUAAGGAUGCAGUGCUAAGCCAAGUGACCAAACAGGCAAGCUGGCCUAGGGACAAUUGCUAAGGUCUUAGCUUUUACAAUGGCCCUUAGAUAAUGUCUAAAAACCAGAGCAAUUUAUAACUUCGCUUGAAAAACAUGUUCCAUUAACUUGAAAAGAAAAAAAAAAAGGAGAACUUGAGUUGUCAGAGCUGAGAACAGAAGGUCUUACCUGAUGGAGGCUGGAGUCUAUCAAUAGCACUAAGCACUAGGAAAUGUUUGGGCCCAAUUUGACAUUUGAGAUCAAACAGAUUAAUGCUCAUAAUUUUUUUCCACCUGGCAUAAUCCUGAGCCUGUGGAGGCCACAGUUAAUAAUGAUUUCCCUGAGCCUCUAGUGACU